rnacentral:lncRNA from 1 species
ACUAAAUUGAAGAUAGAUAUUACUGAAAAUUACAAUGCUUAUGAAAAAAUAAAUCCAUUUUUUAUUGAUAAAAUUGUUACUAAGCCCGUAGUAACUAAAAAUAUAAAGGAAGUGUUAAAUAAUAAUUAUGAAGAUGACGAUCUCAAAAUCCGACUAUCGGAGAGCAUUAAUACCAAAUCAGAUUUAUAUGAAAAAAGAAAAGAAAUGUUUUUGAUGGAAUUAAAAGAAGGGCACAAAAUGGAAGAUGAUAAUGAAUUGAUAAGAAUCCAUCAAGGUGUACCUUUAGAUCCGGCUAAAGAUUAUACAGAAGCUGUAAAAAACAAAAAUAAGCAAAUGACUUUUAAAAAUUAUGGUUUUUGGCACCCCCCGUCUAAUCAUGUUUUUUCUUAUCCUGAUAUAAAAGCUAAAGGAAGAGGUGGCUAUGCUAGUGAAAUGAUAAAGGCACAAAUCAUUAAGAAUAAACAUGAAAAUAUUAAAAAUAAGAUGAAUGUGGAAAACAUACUGGUUUUUCUAAUGAAAAAUAGAUUCAGAUUUAUUGGCUACACAAAGAAUAGUUAUUUUGUUGAUAAUUAUCUAAACGAGAAGUCUGAUAUCAUUUUAAGAUAUAAAGGUUUUCAAAAAAAAAAAUUGUAAAUAUGUAUUAUAAGAAUAAAAAAAGACUCCAAAAAAGACUUCA